AUACGGAGGAUCCGAGCGUUAUCCGGAUUUAUUGGGUUUAAAGGGUGCGCAGGCGGCCAUUUAAGUCAGCGGUUAAAUCGUGGGGCUCAACCCCAUUUUGCCGCUGAUACUGGGUGGCUUGAUUGCGGUCGAGGUUGGCGGAAUUCGUUGUGUAGCGGUGAAAUGCAUAGAUAUGACGAAGAACACCGAUUGCGUAGGCAGCUGACCAGACCGCAAAUGACGCUCAUGCACGAAAGUGCGGGGAUCGAACAGGAUUAGAUACCCUGGUAGUCCGCACAGUAAACGAUGAAUACUUGUUUUCGGCGAUAUAAUGUCGGAGGCAAAGCGAAAGCGAUAAGUAUUCCACCUGGGGAGUACGCCGGCAACGGUGAAACUCAAAUGAAUUGACGGGG
rnacentral:rRNA from 1 species